GCUUGCAAUUCCGGCAAAAUAUGGUCUCGAAAUAUAAGUCACAUUUCAAAAGUCAUUUUGGGUUUCCUACACGAAAAAUGCCAUCUAUUUAGAACAUGAUACCUGAAAUCACGCGCUCCUAUAUUUUGAAGAAAUUAAAUAUCCCGUUUCGGCAAAAACCUUCCAAACCUUGCAUGUCAUAUCUGAAAGGGCUAACAGAUCCUUUUCAUUUUGCAUCAUAUAUGGUACUUGGACCGUUGGACGACGUCCAACCGUUGAACGACUCAGCUAACGGUACUUGGCCCGUUGGACGACGGAUUAAGGACGACGUCCAACCGUUGGACGACUCAGCCAACGGUACUUGGACCGUUGGACGACGGAUUGAGGACGACGUCCAACCGUUGGACGACUCAGCCAACGGUACUUGGUCCGUUGGACGACAGAUUGUGGACGACGUCCAACCGUUGGACGACUCAGCCAACGGUCUCUGCCUCGGAGUCGGGAUCCUUCUAGAGUCAGGAAGGACGAACCCGCCCUGAAAGACGCACAAAACAUGAGGCCAAUGGUGCAGUAUGAAAAUGAUAAGCAUCUGGCUAAUAAUCUUCAUCACCAUUAUUUUCGCGAUCAGAAGAACCCCUGAGGCACUUUUGGCGCGCCCCGUCAUUUAAGGGACGAUUAAGGGAUAAGGGAUAUGAGGCACGUGUGAAGUUAGUGGUGGUGCGGCUAGAUAUCGACCCGGGGAAUCGCCUGGGACCAUUCUUUUCGCGAUCGGAAGAACCCCUGAGGCACUUUUGGCGCGCCCCGUCAUUUAAGGGACGAUUAAGGGAUGAGGGAUAUGAGGCACGUGUGAAGUUAGUGGUGGUGCGGCUAGAUAUCGACCCGGGGAAUCGCCUGGGACCAUUCUUUUCGCGAUCGGAAGAACCCCUGAGGCACUUUUGGCGCGCCCCGUCAUUUAAGGGACGAUUAAGGGAUGAGGGAUAUGAGGCACGUGUGAAGUUAGUGGUGGUGCGGCUAGAUAUCGACCCGGGGAAUCGCCUGGGACCAUUAUUUUCGCGAUCAGAAGAACCCCUGAGGCACUUUUGGCGCGCCCCGUCGUUUAAGGGACGAUUAAGGGAUGAGGGAUGUGAGGCACGUGUGAAGUUAGUGGUGGUGCGGCUAGAUAUCGACCCGGGGAAUUGCCUGGGACCAUUAUUUUCGCGAUCGGAAGAACCCCUGAGGCACUUUUGGCGCGCCCCGUCAUUUAAGGGACGAUUAAGGGAUGAGGGAUGUGAGGCACGUGUGAAGUUAGUGGUGGUGCGGCUAGAUAUCGACCCGGGGAAUCGCCUGGGACCAUUAUUUUCGCGAUCAGAAGAACCCCUGAGGCACUUUUGACGCGCCCCGUCGUUUAAGGGACGAUUAAGGGAUGAGGGAUGUGAGGCACGUGUGAAGUUAGUGGUGGUGCGGCUAGAUAUCGACCCGGGGAAUUGCCUGGGACCAUUAUUUUCGCGAUCGGAAGAACCCCUGAGGCACUUUUGGCGCGCCCCGUCAUUUAAGGGACGAUUAAGGGAUAAGGGAUAUGAGGCACGUGUGAAGUUAGUGGUGGUGCGGCUAGAUAUCGACCCGGGGAAUCGCCUGGGACCAUUAUUUUCGCGAUCAGAAGAACCCCUGAGGCACUUUUGGCGCGCCCCGUCGUUUAAGGGACGAUUAAGGGAUGAGGGAUGUGAGGCACGUGUGAAGUUAGUGGUGGUGCGGCUAGAUAUCGACCCGGGGAAUUGCCUGGGACCAUUAUUUUCGCGAUCGGAAGAACCCCUGAGGCACUUUUGGCGCGCCCCGUCAUUUAAGGGACGAUUAAGGGAUAAGGGAUAUGAGGCACGUGUGAAGUUAGUGGUGGUGCGGCUAGAUAUCGACCCGGGGAAUCGCCUGGGACCAUUAUUUUCGUGAUCGGAAGAGCCCCUGAGGCACUUUUGGCGCGCCCCGUCGUUUAAGGGACGAUUAAGGGAUAAGGGAUAUGAGGCACGUGUGAAGUUAGUGGUGGUGCGGCUAGAUAUCGACCCGGGGAAUCGCCUGGGACCAUUAUUUUCGCGAUCAGAAGAACCCCUGAGGCACUUUUUGCGCGCCCCGUCAUUUAAGGGACGAUUAAGGGAUGAGGGAUAUGAGGCACGUGUGAAGUUAGUGGUGGUGCGGCUAGAUAUCGACCCGGGGAAUCGCCUGGGACCAUUAUUUUCGCGAUCAGAAGAACCCCUGAGGCACUUUUUGCGCGCCCCGUCAUUUAAGGGACGAUUAAGGGAUAAGGGAUACCUGCUAGGGCAAAAUUAAUGUCAUAUUCGUGCUCCCCGUCCCCGAAUUGACCAGAUAUGACGUUUUCAAGUGAUUCGGUACUCGACGCUGAAUACGAAUCCGAAUCCGACGCCAACUUCACGCACAUCGGUAAAUGAGUUUUUGUGCCUACAUACAUAAUAUGAUUCCUCAAAGGACAUUCGAUGUAGCUAUCGGGAUGAUCUUCACAUCGGGGCAAUGCUCUCAGUGCUGUACAUAGAUACUAUAAUAUCUUGUGGACAGUGGAAUAAUUCACAUUUCCCGCAAAAAUAACCCCAAGCUGUUCACCGUCAUUGAUGGUUAGUGUUACCUUGUCUCGCGAUAACUGCCAAAUCACUAUUAAUUACAUGCUACCAAGUACCAGACUUGUUUGAAAAACCCGUUUUCACGUGAUGCAACCGUACCAUCUUGACCAUAAGCUUGUGUUUUGUGUCGUAUCGUAUAUGUAUGCGUACUUUAGUCACAUAUUGUAGCGUCAUUUGUGCCGCUUGUCAUAAUAUACACAUCUUCUAGCAA